rnacentral:lncRNA from 1 species
AUCAGUUUUAAACAGGUAUAUUAUGAUGAAUAACACUACUAAUAGAGAAUCUUGACAGCUGAAAUGUAAUGAUUACAAAAGACUUUUUAAAGAGACAGAUAAUCUUAAAAGACAAAUUUCUAAAAACAUCAUGAAACAUAACAAAGGAGUUAAACAAAGUCAUGAAAAAGAGCUAGUUAGGGCUCCUAUUCUAACUCUCUCCAUCAGCACAUUACAUAUCUUAUUUCAUAGGUUAGGAGCAACGUUAAGCUGUUAGAUUUCAACCAAUGUAGUACAUGGGAUUAGGCAGCUUAAAGGUCCUUAAACCUCUGUAACUUCCCAUCAAAUCUGUCCAUUGGUCUCCAACAUUUCCAAUGAUUCUGUAACCACUUUCCUCCAGCUUCCUUCUCUCAGUUGCUUUGUAUGUAAGUGUUGAUUUCCCAGUAUAUGCAGCUGGAUCCCUGAAACCAAAACACAACAGCUUAUACUCAAGUCUGCAACUUUAAUCAUCAAAACCUGUUUCUACAUGAACAAGUUCAUGGAAAAAUGAAACUCACUUCAGAAUCAACUUUUCCCAUUUGUCAAAUCCAACAUCCUUUAAGUUGGCAACAGUUAUAGCUCUCUGAGACACUAAUCUUUCGGUUAAAAAGACAACCUUGAUGCCCAGAGACAUAAGUUUGUCGUACAGCACAAGAGUCUCGGGUAGUGCGUAUGCUUCUCCUUCAGCAACCCAGUUUGCAAACGCUGUAGCAUUAAAUCGCUCC